CUGGGUCGUAAGGACGUGUAGGCGGAAUAAUCAGUUAUGUAUGUGAAAUCCUCUCGCUUAACCGUGGAAUUGCCUUGGAACUGUUGACCUAGAGUGUGGUUGGGGUGGUUGGAAUGUGUGGUGUAGGGGUAAAAUGCGUAGAUAUAACACAGAACGCCAAUUGCGAAGGCAGAUCACUAAACUACUACUGACGCUGAGACACGAAAGCGUGGGGAGCGAACAGGAUUAGAUACCCUGGUAGUCCACGCCCUAAACUAUGAUUACUCGCUGUUGGAGAUACACUGUUUUCGGCUAAGCGAAAGCGUUAAGUAAUCCACCUGGGGAGUACGAUCGCAAGGUUGAAACUCAUAGGAAUUGACGGGGGCCCCCCCAACCGGAGGAACAUGUGGUUUAAUUCUAUGAUACUCCAGGAACCUUACCUGGGCUUAAAUGCAUAACUACCGCUGCCUAAAGGUGGCUUUCCUUCCUGACGGACUGCUAGGUGCUGCAUGGGUGUCGUUGGCUCCUGCCCUAGGGUGUCGGGUUAAGUCCCAUAACGAGCGCAACCCCCAUCGUUAGUUGUCAGCGAGUAAUGUCGGAAACUCUAGCUAAACUGCUGGUGCAAACCGGAGGAAGGUGGGGAUGACGUCGAAUCAGCACGGUCCUUAUGUUCAUGGCUACACACGUGUUACAAUGGUCAUGACAAUGUAGUAGCAACUUGCGCUACGAGGAGCUAAUCUUCAAACACUGAUCUCAGUCUCAGAUCGGAGUC
rnacentral:rRNA from 1 species